rnacentral:piRNA from 1 species
UAGCCAUUGGGCCUGGUGCAUCGGAGC